GACGAACGCUGGCGGCGUGCUUAACACAUGCAAGUCGAACGGCAGCAUGGAGAGCUUGCUCUCUGAUGGCGAGUGGCGGACGGGUGAGUAACACGUAGGAAUCUGCCUAUUAGUGGGGGAUAACUCGGGGAAACUCGAGCUAAUACCGCAUACGCUCUACGGAGGAAAGCGGGGGAUCUUCGGACCUCGCGCUAAUAGAUGAGCCUGCGUCCGAUUAGCUAGUUGGUAGGGUAAAGGCCUACCAAGGCGACGAUCGGUAGCUGGUCUGAGAGGACGAUCAGCCACACUGGAACUGAGACACGGUCCAGACUCCUACGGGAGGCAGCAGUGGGGAAUAUUGGACAAUGGGCGCAAGCCUGAUCCAGCAAUGCCGCGUGUGUGAAGAAGGCCUGCGGGUUGUAAAGCACUUUAAGCAGGGAAGAAGGCUCUGGAGUUAAUACCUUUGGAGAUUGACGUUACCUGCAGAAUAAGCACCGGCUAACUCCGUGCCAGCAGCCGCAGUAA
rnacentral:rRNA from 1 species